GUGGUGCCCAGGGUGGGGUGGUGGCCUCAGGGGUCCUCUCUCGUCUCCCAGACCCCCCGAUCAUCUCCCACCCCCACCUCAGCACAGCCCCUGAAUAUGCUGCUCGAGUCCGUGCUUCAGGCCUGGCAGGUCUGCCUGAGGGCGGCCGAGGGGCCCUCCCGGGAGCAGGUGCCCCGUUAGUGCUGUGGGCAGUUUGGACUUGGGACGAUGGCCACAGGUCAGAGCAGAGCUGUGACACGGUCCUGGCCCAUAAUAUGCUCUUCUCCCCUGGACCAGUUUUGACUGAGAUUUGAAAUGGGUGCUGUUACCAUCCAAACUGCCCCAGAAUCUCUUCUGACACACGAGUUGGCCGAGUGUUUUUGGCGUCGGCUGCAGUCCCUGAAACAUUGAGUUUUGGGUGGAAGUUGAGUCUGAUUCACGUUCCAGAGCCAUGCAGAGCUGGGAUGUCCUGAAUCGUGAACCAUUCCCAGGUUCACAAGCCGCUUUAUCUGUGGGUGUCAGUGAGGGCACCGGCACCAUGCCAUGCAGGGCAGCUGAGUGGCUCUGAUGACCUGGGAACCUCAGGUGAGGUACCGGAGGGAGUCUCUGGGUAGCCGAGGGCCGGUGAGUUGGCUUUAGAUUUUCCUUCCCUUUUUUUGAGGCCAGCAGACAGCUUUGUGGGGCCCUGUGUGGAAGACAGUGUUGGUCUUUGGAAAGUUCUGUGGGCAGAGAGAAGUGUGUGGUCCCAAGAGCUCUCACACAGGGAAAGCUCAGGGUCCUGUCUUUUAGAUAGGGACAGCCAGGCCAGGUGCAACCCUUGCUCCAAGGUACAGAUGACCUCGUGGGGUCUGAGCGCAUGGGGCGUGGGUCAAUGGGGCUCAGGUGCACCAUCUGCUUCAAUUCCAGAACUAGUUGGUAGGAAGAUGCCUCCCAAGGGGAAGGUGUGAGCUCGGGUAGUGGUGGGGGCAGGUUCCAGGAAGGCUGUUCCUGCGGUGACCAGGCAGGAUGGUGGUCAGUGGGGGGCGCUAUGGCAUUGAGUGUUGGAGGCGAGGCAGGGAUGCUGCCUACACCCCAUAGUGCAUAGGGCAGCCCCACCACAGAGAAUGACCUGGCCCCAGGCAUCAGCACAGGACACCCCAACACGAAGAGUGACUUAUCCCCAAGUGUCAGCAGUGCUGAGGUGGAAACACCUGGUUUGAGGGCUAGGCCAGCCCCCCCAAAUAAUAUAAUUUAGUGAAUAAAAUCUUCCAUUGGAAAAAACCAGACCUACUAGGAUUUGAAAUGCAGACUUUCUCCUGAGUGGGAAUCUACAUCUUAUUGUUCUGUGUUCUUGGCUCAGAUGAGUUUUCAAAACCUUAAACCUCUCUCAAACUAAACUGGUCUGUUACAGAGCUUCAAUGUAUGACUGCCCAGGUAGGACCCCUCCCCCCAGGGCCUGACUGCCCAGGUAGGACCCCUCCCCCCAGGGCCUGACUGCCCAGGUAGGACCCCUCCCCCCCUGCCCCUGUGCCUGCCUGGGUAGGACCCC